CUCAGUUCUGUUGCAGUUUUCUCCUAGGGGCCGAGAAGAGCCUUUAAGGUGUUGGCCAAUGUACUGUCCAGGACCCAGCCCACAGGGAGGGAGAGAACGGGAAAGGAGAUAAGAAACACAAGGAAGAAGAUGGGAAUUUUGUUGAGUGGGGAAAAAAGACCAUUGACUUGAAGGAGCCCAGCGUUGAACAGAACCAGCUUUGGUGGGAUAGCAAUGGAAGCAAGGAGAAACCGCCUCGCACAUCCUGCUGGGUGUGGGGCGAGUCCUGGCCUGCCCGCCUCACCCGCUCAGGGAGAGCCCAGCACUUCAAUCUUAGGUGUUUCAUCGGUCAGCCAAAUAAGUCAGGCGACAGACAAGAAAAAUUUUGUUGUGGUCAGAGAAUAUGCUCUAUGGAUCUUCAAACAUUUGAAAUUGGCUGAGACUUGCUUUAUGGCCAGCAAAAGGUAAAUUUGUGUAAAUGCUUUGCAUGUGCCUGAAAAAAAGGUGUAUUUGCAGCUAUUGUGUGCAUUUUCCCAUAUAUAUCCAUUAGGUCAAAUAUCUUAAUCAUGUGUUCCAAACGUUUGCAUUCUUACUGACUUUCAGUCUGCUUGUUUAUCAAUUACCGAAAGAAGAGUGUUUCAAAAUCUCACACUGUGAUUGGUAUUUGUCUGUUUCGUCAGAGUUUGUCUCCAUAUGGAGCAAUCCACAUUUAAAUUGGCCACAGUUAUGGUGAAAUAAAGCUCAUGAUUAUGAAGCAACUUUAUUUCAAAAAACAAUUUUUGCCUUAAAGUUUGUCUGGUAUUAAUAUUUGCUUUCUAUAUUUGGUUAGCAUUUACAUACUAUAUCUUUUCCAACCUUUUGAUUUCAACUGUCUCGUACUUUCAUGUUCUAAAUGUGGCCUUUGUAAAUAACAUUUAGUUGAAUCUACAAUCGAAAAUCUAUCGAAUCUACAAUCUUUAUCUUUCAACUUGAGUCUUUGGUGUACAGCUCUCUACUUAAUAGCUGGAAACUUACCCUUUCUCUUCUACUCAAAGAAGCACAUCUGAUUGUAUAUUAUUAUCUGAGUAACAUUGCAUCUAAUUUAAUUAUUUAAAAAAUAAUUUUAAAAUAUUGAUACUUUAACUCUUAUGUAUGACAUUGUUGACCCACCUCACAAAUGAUGUAGUUAAAAUAAUGUUUUAUGACAUUGACAUUGACUAUGAGGAUGCUGAUAACUGCUGUUCUAUGAUAUUUCUAGAUUUAUGAGGUGAGUCAAAUAACUUUCUAGUUAUACGCCAAAAAAACAUGUAUCAAGCAAGUAGAUGAGAUAAAAGAGAUUAAUAAUGGUCAUGUGGUUCUAUGCAGCCUGUAAACAAUGUGCCGACAGACUGGUAAGUACUGAUUAUUAUUACUUUGGUAGUAAGUUCCAGCUCUUUUCUCAGUUCACUCUUAGUAGAAUAGAUAAAAUUAUUUUAUACUAUUAUCUCCUGGGAAUUUCCCCACUCCCUGUAACAGGGAGAGUAAGUAUUCACGACUGUUUCUUAAGUGACAAUUUUCAAGUCUCAUCUUGCCUUUUUUUUGGAUAAUCAAAAUCUAAAUGAAACUCAAAUUUAUAAACAGCUACAUUUUAUAACAACACCUGAAUGAUGUGGAUUUGAUGUUCUUUGGGUUAUAAGAGGAAGGAAGAGAGAAUUAACUUUUCGUGUGAGGUUGGGCAGGAGAAGACAGAUCUGGGUAGAAUGACAUAAUUGAUGACUUUCAGAAAUUGAAGGACAGCAUGAGGGCCCUGGGUGCCUGCUAAGAGAAAGGCCAUCAAAAGCUUGAACAAAGUUUAAUGACUAAAAUGUAGUUUUAACUACAAUUUGGACCAAGGCUACUUAUCCCUCUGUUCUUCCUAAAGUCAAGUAGAAAGAAUUAUCUUGGAGGGGCAUCAGGAAAAUUCAAGAUCACAUCUUCUUUCCCUGGAGGACUUCUAUGCGGGAGAGAAGAAGUUAUUAAAUUGGUUUUCCCCCAUCCUCUGAGCCUGAAGAACUUGAGGCUGUGGGACAAGUUAGGGAUCUUUGGGGUAACUUGUAUCAGUUCAUGCUCACUGGGAUGCAGUUCUUUGUUAAUCCCCAAAACAGGCCCUUUUCCAACAGAAUGACUCCAAGAGGAGCAUACUUUAUAGUAUGAUUUAUUUUACAGAAGAACCUGAAUAUUUCUACUUUUCUCUACCUAUGUUUAUAAAUUUGACAAAUCAGCAUUAUUGGGAGUAAUAAAAGUUUAUAAAAAAUUAAAAUUUAGUGGAAAUUAAUACAAUAUUUGCUCUGUUUUCAUAAUUCUCAUACUGUUGAAGUUGAUAGACUAUUGUCUCACAAUUAAAAUUUAGUGGAAAUUAAUACAAUAUUUGCUCUGUUGUUUUCAUAAUUCUCAUACUGUUGAAGUUGACAGACUAUUGUCUCACUUUUUUCGAGGAAUCAGCUUGCUCAGUAAUUGUUUACUCAUUUCACCAGGCCCUUUGCAUGUGCAGUACCAUGCCUGGAAUGCUGUCCUCUUAGCUUUGCAUGGCUGGCUUUCAGCUCAAAUACAAUAUCCUGAGUUUGAUCACUCUUUCUAAAAGACGUACUCACUCCAUCAUUCUCUAACGUCUUCCUGUUUAUUUCUUUUAUUGCAUUUACUAUUAUAUGAAACCUGGUUUAUUUAUCUACUUAAUUGAUUAGCAAAUAAAUAUUAGUGAAAGUGAAGAGGGAGGAAAGUAGAUGGAUUCAAGAUAUAAUUUUGAGGUAAAAUAGCCAGGAUUUUUUGGUAAAUUGAACAUAGUGUAUGCAUAUUGACAAAUAAAAAUGGCAAGCAAUAGGAUAUAUUGGAGUAUAUGAGGAAGCCAUUUGGUAUAAACCUAAUUUGGCCUGAC